UGCCUGCCGGCAGGCAGGUAGAAGUGGAGCUCUUUUUAAUCUUGCCUUUUUUGGCAAGAUUAAAAAAGCGGGAACGAAUAGCUGGAAAUAGC
rnacentral:sRNA from 1 species